rnacentral:tRNA from 1 species
UCCCCUGUGGCGCAAUGGCUAGCGCGUAAGACUGUUAAGCACACCCAUCACUUUGCCCUAUCUUGGUGUUUACAUAGAUCUUGAGGCUGAUGGUUCGAGCCCAUCCAGGGGAG